UGGGGAAUUUUGGACAAUGGGCGCAAGCCUGAUCCAGCAAUGCCGCGUGCAGGAUGAAGGCCUUCGGGUUGUAAACUGCUUUUGUACGGAACGAAAAGCCUCUCUCUAAUACAGGGGGGUGAUGACGGUACCGUAAGAAUAAGCACCGGCUAACUACGUGCCAGCAGCCGCGGUAAUACGUAGGGUGCAAGCGUUAAUCGGAAUUACUGGGCGUAAAGCGUGCGCAGGCGGUUUUGUAAGACAGUGGUGAAAUCCCCGGGCUCAACCUGGGAACUGCCAUUGUGACUGCAAGGCUGGAGUGCGGCAGAGGGGGAUGGAAUUCCGCGUGUAGCAGUGAAAUGCGUAGAUAUGCGGAGGAACACCGAUGGCGAAGGCAAUCCCCUGGGCCUGCACUGACGCUCAAUGCACGAAAGCGUGGGGAGCAAACAGGAUUAGAUACCCUGGUAGUCCACGCCCU
rnacentral:rRNA from 1 species